UUCUGAGCCGUGGAAAACCUCCCUGGAGGUCAAACUACAAUUAACUAACAAUACAGCCGGAAUUAAAAGGGAAAAGAUCCGCUCAGACAUUUCAUCUCCUACUGGAGUCACUUCUCACACAGCCUGGGGGCUGAGCACUCCCAGCCAGCUCCUCCUGCUUCCAGCCUGGCUGCCAGUGACGGGGACACAUCUGCGCCCCAUCCAGGUUCCACAGGAAACUCCUUCCGUCUUCCCAGGGAAGGAAGAGGGUGACAGAGAAGCAGGGAAGGGGAGGUGAAACCAUAACCAUGUUGAUGUUCAAAGGAAGCUCCCCAGCCCGGGGAUUUGCUGUUGAAUGCAGACUUUUGGCCACGUGAACUUUCCCUCGGUGACUCUGCAAAUCCUUACACUUAGCUUUUUUUGGGCGUCGAUUUCAAAAGACAUCUUGCCUCUGAGCGUGGGAUGCAGACGGGAAGGGCCUUUCUAAUUAACCCAGGAGGGAGAGCAUCCCUCUCGCCUGCUCUGACCCUGCACCAUUAGGGAAGGAGCAGGAUUGCCAGAGCUCCCCUAGAAAUGGCACCUUAAUCCGCCUCCCCAAAAUCCCCGACCCCUGAUCCGCGCAGAGACAACCAUUUUAAAGAGGCAGUGUCACGAUGUGCCACCUCCUUCUCAUAAGUGGUCACCUGCCAGCUCCGACUGAAGGCGUAAUUACCAUCCUUGAGGCCUGAUCCAUCUUAUUCCCCUUGAAGUCGAUGAGGAAACCUCCCCGACUCUGCUGGAAGCGGGCUGGUGAGUCGAAGGGCAGCACGUUUGCCAGAAGAUAAUUGGUUCAAACUCUGGCCAAGGAGCUUCUUGGAUCGUUGCUGGAGAUGCCAUGCGGCCGGAGGGUAGCUCUUCCAGUCAUCCCAUCAGGGAAGAGUUUAUUUGGAGGAGAGGGCCUCACCCUUCAGGAAAUCAAUAUUCCUUCCAGCUCUGCUUGUCCUUGUUCCCCUCUGGUGAUGGCAAGGCCUUUGGAGCACUCUCUGGGGCUGAUAUCCAUCAGAAGACCUCUGUGGCCAUGGGACACCUGAGUUCUGCUCCUUGAACCCCCAGCACUACACCGAGCCCCCUCGGGGCACCCAGGGAUCGCACAGAGCCCCGGGAUCCGGCAGCGACGUUCCCUUUGCCAACAAAGCUUGUUGGGCUCUUUCCUCUGCCUGUUCUCCAGCAGAGCCACCCAGACUGCCAGAACAGAGCCGAGCACUAUUUGGAAUUCAGAGGGCACCAUCAGUCCGUGUCAUUGGCAGGGAAUAAAUAAAUACCUCUUUGGAG
rnacentral:lncRNA from 1 species